rnacentral:rRNA from 1 species
AUAUACUCUAAUAUAGUUAUUUUAUUUACUUUAUUUUAAUAAAAAUAAUUUUUUUGUUGUAGUAAAUUUUAUUAAAUAAACUUAUUUUUUAGACUGAAAAGGUUAUAUUACAAUUUUAUAUUAUUAAGUAAAAUUAAUUUUGUACCUUUUGUAUCAGGGUAAAUUAACUAAAUAUAUAUAUAUAUAUUUCCCGAAUUAUAAUGAUAUAAAAUAAUUUGUAAUUUACUGUUGCAAAAAUAUUUAUUAAUUUAUUUUAGAAAUGAGAUUUUAUCGAAUUAUAUAAUAUCUGGUUUUUUAAUAAAUGAAUUUAAUUCAGGAUAAUUAAUAUAAUUAUAUGUUUUAAUAAAAAUUUAUUAUUUUUAUCUUAUUAUAUUAGGGAUUAGCCAAUUAUAAUUUCUAUAUGAUAUAUUUUAAUUAAUUAAAUAAGCUUAAAAUCAGCUUUUUUUAGAUUAAGUUAAAUUUCAGUAUUUUUAUUAUAUAUAUAUAAUAUUCAUUAGAUUUUUAUUAAAAAAUUAUUAUAUUAAUAAUUUUUUUAAAUUAAAAUGAUUUAAUUAGUAUAAUUAUUAAAAUUUUAUUUAUGAAUUAGGCAAUUUUAAUUUUCACCUGUUUAUCAAAAACAUGUCUUUUAGAAAAAAAUUAAAAGUCUAGUCUGCCCAAUGAUAUAUAAAUGGCCGCAGUAAACUGACUGUGCAAAGGUAGCAUAAUAAUUAGUCUUUUAAUUAAAGGCUUGUAUGAAUGAUUGAAUGAAAAAUUAACUUUAUUAAUAUAAUAAUUAAAACUUAAUUUUUAAGUUAAAAAGCUUAAAUAUAUAAGUUGGACGAGAAGACCCUAUAGAGUUUAAAAAACAUUUUAAAUAUUUCAUAUUAGUAUUAAUAAUGUAAAUGUAUCUAAUAUUUUUUUUGUUGGGGUGACAUUAUAAAAAAUAUAACUUUUAAUAUAUUAAACAUUUAUUUAUGUAUAAAAAACUGAUCCAAAUAUAAAUGUUGAUUAUAAGAAUAAAUUACCUUAGGGAUAACAGCGUAAUUAUUUUUUAGAGUUCACAUCAAUAAAAUAGUUUGCGACCUCGAUGUUGGAUUAAGAAAAUAAUCUAGAGCAAAAUUUAGAUAUUUAGGUCUGUUCGACCUUUAAAUUCUUACAUGAUCUGAGUUCAAACCGGUGUAAACCAGGUUGGUUUCUAUCCACUUUAAUAUUAUUAAUAUUAGUACGAAAGGACCAUAUUAAUUAAUUUUAAUUAU